rnacentral:sRNA from 1 species
AACGGCUUUCGUAGUCGUUCCAAAGCCGCCGGCGUCUUGAUCCCUCCGCCAGCGCGCCAGACUGCGCCGUCCGGUUCCCCUCCGGGCGGCGCUUUUUC